rnacentral:hammerhead_ribozyme from 1 species
ACCCAACUGAUGAGUCCAAAAUAGGACGAAACACGUGUCUUGAAU